AACGUAAACCCUGUCUGAAUUUUUAACACCACGAAACUAACAAUAACUUAAACAAAUCUGACGAAAACGCACACCAAUGAAUCAAUUUUGCAAUAUUUACAAUACAAUUAACAACUGCAAAAACACCACGCAUUCAUACAAAACUUUUUCUUAAAAAAAAAAAAAAAACGGGGACUGAAAUUCCCGCCAGGUUUAUUCACGCUCUUAUCCGGUCUGAUUCCUUAUCAGUAAGACCUCUCCACCUCAAUUCCGUCGCCUCCAUUAUAUAAUAAAGUGCGCAAACACCGAAAAUGCAAGCGAACCGACUUUUCCGCCUAAUCGCAAGACUGCGACCC